GACAGAGGGUGCGAACGUUGCUCGGAAUGACUGGGCGUAAAGCGCGUGCAGGCGGCCAGGUAGGUCUGCUGUGAAAACUCGAGGCUCAACCUCGAGACGUCGGCGGAAACCAUCUGGCUAGAGUCCGGAAGAGGAGAGUGGAAUUCCUGGUGUAGCGGUGAAAUGCGCAGAUAUCAGGAAGAACACCCGUGGCGAAGGCGGCUCUCUGGGACGGUACUGACGCUGAGACGCGAAAGCGUGGGGAGCGAACAGG
rnacentral:rRNA from 1 species